CCAACACCUAUUGCUGAGGCUCUUGUCUUGAAACAGAAGCCAGGAACAGGAGCUUUUUCCCUCCUAGGUGUAGUGCCUCAAAGUUUGGGGCCUUCUCCUAGGAGGUUGCAGCUGUGGAUCUUCUGAGAAACAUGAUCUCCUCCAAAAUGACAUCCAAAGAAGGAUCACCUGCUACAGCCAGCUUCUCUGUUCCUUUGGCCAGGCUUGACUGUGGUUUGGUGCCAGGCUAGUUUCAGAGGUAAUGCAGAUGGAAGGAAUUCAGCCAGCACUCCUUCAUCACAGCACGCCACCUCUCCAGGACACAGGGGGUAUGCCAUGAAUUAGAUCAGGAAAUAAUGUUUAUUUCCUGUGGCUCUUUUUUAUUAUUUUUCAGUAGAACGGGUCCCCUGAUCUGGUUCACAGUAUGGCCCGCAAAAAGCUGGAGCUGGGAAAAUUGAGGAGGGGUGCAGUAUUGCCUGAGGACAAAAAAAGGUGGAACUGGAUGUUUCUGAGGCCACAGGAUCAGAAAACUGUGGCCUUCCUGCUACCAGCCUGGAGAUGAGUCUUCCCUCAAUUUCUAGCAAGCAACAAGCUUGUGAAUAUGUCUUACGGCACAGGUAAUCUGCAUAUGCUUUCAAAUCUCAUCUGACCUUCCUCUUCUCUUUACUUUCUGUUAUUUAAUGUCUUGUUCACAAAUUCUUUUAUCAAACACUUUAAAUAAUUUUAGAGGUACUGUCUUCUUUAAAAAAAAAAAUCUAUCUAGGACUUAGUGAUGAGCAGUUCCUAGUCACACAGCAAAGAUGAUCAGUGUAAGGAAGAGUGAGAAAUACUUGAAUGAGAACGUGGACAGUCAAAGUGUGAACGAAAAACUACUAGCUGCAAAGCAUCAGCCCAACUGUAUGUGUGUUUCUUUUGUUUAAGAAUCUGACCUGUAGAUAUGCAAUGACUGAGCAAAGAGCCCAGAAAUGAAAUAUAUGAUUGUUCUUCAUACAAGGUAGUUCUAGCAUACGCUCAGUGUAUCAGUUGUGAAUGCUGGAAAAGACUGGGUGUAGCACAGUGAGUGUUAGUCAUGGCCUGGAAACAGGGUAGGAAAACAAUUUAGGCUGAAUAGUUACUCAGCUAAUUGCUUUGAGUAAGUCUCAGAUUUACACACCCCAGAACCCAAACUCAAAAUUUUUACUUGAUAGUAUGAGGCAAAUACUCGCCCUUUCUCUGGGGGAGGUGGGGUUGGGUGGGGUGUAAAUCUUAGGAGCUUUCUAAAACUGCAUUUGCAGUAAUACAGGCAAACAGGAAAAGGAGCUAAGGAUCUUGGAGGGCUGCAAAACUGUGAUUAGAUGAGCUCUGGAAAAUGCAUUGUAGUGAACAGAAAGUAGCAGUGCUGUAUGGUGCAUAUCCUACCUGAUCACCAUGUGCUACCACUCUGAAAGCAGCACGCAACCUGUACUUUCCCUUUAAUUGCCUCAGGAAAAAGAAAAACAAACCAGCUUAGCUUUAAACUCACCUUCAAAAGCCAACGGACCUUGCACUGAAACAAAUAUACAUGCACAUGAUUCACACUGACUCUCCUUGGGUGCUCUGGCAAUAACACAACUUUUAAAAUCACUGCAUCUGCUUGCUAAAUAAACGUGCUUACACCUUUGGUGCAUGAAGAACUUGGCCUGAGGUGUACAUACUUAGUAUGGAGGCAAACGUAAGUUCCACUUCAGUUUUAAUUUCUGCACUUGGACUGAAUUGUUUACAAAGAGAUGAGACCACAGCAAGCCGACGUUUACAUGGUAAUUCAUUCUUGAAAUCUGCAUAAAACAUGAGCAAAGGCACAGAAAAUACUGAAGCUUAGAUUAAGGCUACAACUAAAGCCAGGCAAGAAUAAAUUAAUAUUGAACGAAGUAUGCUGGGAGAAUUUACCAGUUACAGCAUAAGCUAAUCUAGGCAUGCAAGGGAGUAUAUACACACUGCAGAAGUAUAUAGGAGGACAUAUUUUAAAGAAAAGGAAGCAGAAGUUGCUAAUAAUUGCAUUAAGAAACAUGUUCCACCAUACGUUUUCUUGCUUUUUUAUUCUAGUAUGUCUUGCUAAUAUAGAACCUCUUCAGGGAAAGGGCAGAUUUUCAGCACAAUUAUUAAAGGACUGUAAGGACAGCACAGGGUGUUACAGGAAAGAAGGGUUGGGAAUUGGAAGCAGACGUCAGAGAGAGGCACGGAGUUGACGUAAAUAGUAAAGAGACUUGAGAGGGACAGUGAAAGAUAGCUUAGCUGGAGAGGGGGACGAAUGGAGGCCAGAAAAGAUGUUGCAAUAGUCAGCUAAUGAAUAAGAUAUGAAUCACAGUUACGGUGGUGAUGGCAGGGAGUGAUUUUAAAGAUGUCGUCCAGGAAGAGAAUCUCAGUGAGAUCAAUAAAACACCAAAUGUGAAACUGAGGUUGGGGAAAAGGGGGCAACAAAGACUUCAUUGAGCCAACAGAGCAAAAGUAGGAAGAAGUGAAAAGCCUAGAUAAGUAAAGAAACUCUUUGAAAUAGGAAACAUUCAAAGAGUAUUCAGCAGAAACAGUGCUUCAGUAGAAACAGUAUUUCAAUAGAAACACAGGGAUCAAUAAACUAAAAUGCAUUAAGCAAUAAAUUAAGAAUUAGUUAAAUCAAAGCAUCUAUUUCCAGGGAAAAUAGGAAAAAACUUGCAUAUGGGAGGAAACUGUUAUCCGUUCACUGACCCAUCAUGGCAAGUACCAUAUGCAUCAAAGGAAGGAGCAAAAAACCCCAGUAACAGAAUAACAAAACUUACUUCUAGUUCAGGAUACCAAGCAGUGAUUUGUUUUCUAAAAUCGUGUAAUUUUAUUAUACCAAGUCUAACUGAUUUGUUAGCAAUUCUCAGAGACAAUAAAACCAUAAAUAAAUCUGCUAAAUCCUGCUGACUCUGGUAAUACAGUGUCCAGUACAAAAACAAAUGUAUAGAAAAGGAAUCUGACACUGGAGGAAGAAACGAUUUGGAUGAGAAGGUAGGGGGGGAUGUGGAAAAGAACAGCACAGUUGUGUUUUAAAAGUAAUUACAUGUUCCCAUAAACUGUUUUCAGGUUGGUGGUUUCCCCUGUGGCUCCUUCACAUUCUAUAGGAGGCUCAGGUGUGGGCUUCCCCUCAGAAAAUGCUUGAGGGGUACUGUUUUCCCCCUCUCUUUCAGUUCACCCUUUAAAGUGUGUAUCCUGCAUUUCUGUAAGAAAGGUGCUUGCUCACCGCUAAUGGUUUUUCUUUAAAGAACUUUUUUAUUAAAAUGGAGAAAAUAAAGACUGAAAUUAAUAACGAGGGGGGGCAGAGAACUGUCACAUUAAAAAAUAUGUUAAUUGAACAAUUCUUAACAUUGCUGCUGAUAACAGCUAGCUAUAGCGAUGAUGACAGCACCAGCAUAAAACCAAGAUUGGUUAUUAGAGAAAUUGUAAACAUUUUGGGUUAAAAAGGGUUGGUUGAUAAGUUUAAAGCACCAUUAUCUUAUGUGCAACUGUUCUUAGUCUUUCUCACACCAGAAGAGUCAUACGGACAUCUGGAAUUUUUGAUCAUGACACUCUUGAGAAAUAAUGAACUAUUUCACUAGGAAGUAGAGAGUAAUAAGCAAAGUCACUUUCAGAUAUGGACAGAAAUGACCUGAAUGACCAAGUCCAUACCUUAAAUUGAUGGGGUGGCAUGGUAAACAUCUCAAAAUUAAAGUAACAACUUUAAUCACUUAUUUUGUAGGGAAAUAAAAUGUCAGCUUAGACUUAAAAAAAAAUUCCAAUGUCUAAAUAGGUUUGUGGAACAUGAGACUUGUGCAAACCUGAAACUUGCAUCCUGGUUCCAUCCAAACCUUUCAUAUUAAAAUGAGGCAGAUGAGUCUCAUAUGGUUUAUCUUUAAACAUUUUAAUUUAUCACCUUUAGUCCUAGAGCUUUUCUAAGCCAGCAGAGAGACGUGCAUCUAAAAACAACCAAACCUCAAAACCAACCACAAGGCAAACUAGCACAGACACUUCCGUAACAGGACUGCAAUGCUGGGACAGAGCUUCAUAACAAAAGGUCAGGACAGAUAAAUCUCACAGGUCUCCUCUGUUUCACAGUUAAUUUGGUUCUUUUUUUUAAAGACAGUUGAUCUGGUGAGAAAGAACUGCUCUUUUAACAAUAACUUGCAUACUGUGUAUGCAUGUAGCCCACAUAUUAACUUAAGUAGAUCAGAUGUAAUCAUCUCCUCUUCAUUAUCACAUGGGACUUUUGGCUUUGACUUAUUUUGAGCAGGCACAAAUAGGCAGGAUUCAGCAUCCACAAAAUUACACACAAAAAGUCUUUAAAUUGCACUCAAAUAGUUUCCUGUACUUCCGUUAGUGUCCUCGGUUCAUAAAACUUGUUGUCUUGUGACGUUCCAGCCACUUCUGUUCUUUUAAGAAGAGUAAUUCAAUAAUAUUAAAAUAAUUUUCAAUUAGUUCGUUAGUUCAGCAAAAAUUCAGUAGUCACACAAAGAGAAACAGAACCAUACGUGUGCUAUUUCAGCUUAUAAAAUGCUAGCUACGAUGCUUGGUCUCUGCAGUUCCUGUUCAAAUAAAUACCUAAAAGGGAAGGCUCUAUUUUACUUAUUAUAGCAACUUUGUCAGGAAAGACUUUCAUGAUGACCCAGCAAAAAUGAGGCAUAUUGUCUGCUAAAACGUCUGUCAUCAGAUCAGCAGGAGAAACCACAGCAAAUAUUUGAGCAUGGGUUCAGCGCACUGCCUGUGUUUUGCCAGUAGUUGGAGGAGGUGGUGAAGGUGCUUGCUGGUGUAGUCUGUUUCCCAAACUUCUGAAUGAGUCUGUGCUGACUUGGAUCUGCUCAUCUGCUUCCCCAGAAUUGUUACAAGACACUCCGUAUCUGGCCUUUAAAUAAAUGGAAAGGCAUUUUUGUUUUGCAAAUGAAAACCUUUUGUGACAGAAAUGCUGCCGGUGACUGUGGAGACCUCUGACUAAGCCAGCUGGCUACUGGAAAGAUGGAAAAUCAACGACUGCACAAGUCUGGCUGCUUGUUUCACAACUGUCAAGCUGUUAGGCAACAGUAAUAUAGUUACUGCAUAUUAAUAGAAUGUAACACUAAUUAAAGCUUAUUCCAGCUAAAAGCCUAGUAAAUAAUCUAAUUUCUGAUUUCUAAAAGCUUUUAAAUAGCUAAUGGAUGUUUUUGGUAUUUAGUAUGUUAUUAAGAUUUUAACUGUGAUACAAAUUUACACAAUCCAGUCAGUAAUCUAUACUUAAAAAGCACUUUUGAUACAAAAGAAAUCAGUAUGGUCUCCUGGGUAAAUAUUUUAAAUGCAGGAUACAUUCCCCUCCUUCACUACAGAUGCUUUCUGCAACGCCAGCCAUUUUUAAGGACAAAAUGUAUGCAGCUUAUUUAGAAGAAAACACUUCCAAAACAAGGAUUAAGAGCGCUCUUCUCCAUGUCUGGGAUAACACAGUCCUCUUCACUGACCAUGCUGUAGACGGAGGUUGCUAUGAGUUCAGUUAUCAGCGAGUGUGGGAUGCGGAGCCCACAGCUCAUAAACAGGAAACAGCCCACAACUCAUUUUAAAUUCCAAUAAAUAUUUUGCGGGUUUACUGCCUUUGGGACAGUGUUAGUGUGUGAGCCAGGCCAAGAUGUAUGAAACAUCUAUUUGUCCCUCAGAAAAGCUAGCUGAGCGCGACAGCUAGGAUGAAGCCUGGCAUGCCUCUGACUGGCAACAGCAAAGUCCUGAUGUGCUGAAUCCCUCAAAAUGUGUAUAUUCCCAACACAAAAGCCUGCAACCAUACCAAGAUCUUACUUUUUAGAAUUGUACUGCAGUGCAUGUAAAAUGUCACCUCAGGGACCAGCAAUACAAGCAUGCAUGCAAACAGACCUCCUAAAUCCAGUCUGAAAGUUCAGUAUGGAAACUCACACAAGUAUCCUCACUCUCCACAGCUUCCUUGCCAAACAAGAGGGGAAACAGUUUUAAGAGCUGAUCACACACUGAAAGAAAACCAAUAUAUAUUUUUAACUGCAUAGAAGCUUAUUCUGGUUUUGUAUAUUUCGGGGUGGGGGGGAAGAAAGGAAAAGAAAGAGAGAGAGAAAGAGAGAGAGAAAGAGAGAGAGAGAAAGAGAGAGAGAGAAAGAGAGAGAGAGAAAGAGAGAGAGAGAAAGAGAGAGAGAGAAAGAGAGAGAGAGAAAGAGAAAGAGAGAGAGAAAGAGAGAGAGAAAGACAGAGAGGAAAGAGCCAAACUGAAAGAAAAACUCUGUGCAGAUAACAUCUUUUAUGGAAAUAGUCCCUCAUCCUUGUUAUCAGCUGAGCUCUCUUACACAUAGGUGUUAAAAUUGGGAAUUAACCUUCUAAAUCAAUUGAUUCUUGCGGCAUUGGGUGUUGGCCCAGGUUGGGACAGACCUUGAAGCAGUGAAGUCAGGCUGUGACCAGAACCGGCUUGAAAUAGUUUGAAAAAGCCUUAAAUAAAGCCUCUACCAUUACUAUUGUUCCUGUACUGAGUGCUCCGGUGCCCAGGUCCAUGUGCUUAACCCAAAUUUGUGAGAAACUUACGUAAUUAAAUAUGGUGCUCACUGCAGUAGGGGCCAAGCCUCCAGGACAGUGCUCUCCUUCCUUCCCUUCCGGGCCCAUGUUUCUGUUUUCUGAACUGCCACAAACUAUGUUUCCAUUGAGUGAAAACAAGUAGAAGCUCUGUGUGUGUGCACACACUUGGUACCUGUAAAAUAAUUUCCUGUUGGAAACAUUUGAAGUGAAUCAUGUUUUCUCCUCCUGGCAUGUUAUUGACUACUCAGGUCAGUAAUAAAGUGCUUUUUUUUCCAAAUAGAGUGAGAACAUGAAAGUGAAAAUGCAAUCAUAUGAUUAAAAAAAGCUUGUGAUGUAUUUUGUAAAGUGAUGAGCACAAGCAUGAGGACCAUCAAGAAAUGCUUCAUCUAGCAGUCAAAGAGCAGAAAUCGGGGGUGGUGGGGGCUGACCUCCUUUUAAAACCAGUGUAUUUAUGCUUCUAGUUACCUUUCCAAGAUUCGAGAGCCUCAAGA